rnacentral:rRNA from 1 species
CGUUCUGUAAGCCUGUGAAGGUGUGCUGUGAGGCAUGCUGGAGGUAUCAGAAGUGCGAAUGCUGACAUAAGUAACGAUAAAGCGGGUGAAAAGCCCGCUCGCCGGAAGACCAAGGGUUCCUGUCCAACGUUAAUCGGGGCAGGGUGAGUCGACCCCUAAGGCGAGGCCGAAAGGCGUAGUCGAUGGGAAACAGGUUAAUAUUCCUGUACUUGGUGUUACUGCGAAGGGGGGACGGAGAAGGCUAUGUUGGCCGGGCGACGGUUGUCCCGGUUUAAGCGUGUAGGCUGGUUUUCCAGGCAAAUCCGGAAAAUCAAGGCUGAGGCGUGAUGACGAGGCACUACGGUGCUGAAGCAACA